GCUGGGCAUGGUGGCGCACACCUGUAAUCCCAGUGGCUCAGGAGGCUGAGGUAGGAGGAUCAUGUGUUCAAAGCUAGCCUCAGCAAAAGAGAGGCACUAAACAACUCUGUAAGACCCUAUCUCUA
rnacentral:sRNA from 1 species